GAAAAAGCCACCAGAUGGAGGAAAUUCACACAAAGUUUUGAGAGGCUAGUAACAGCGACUUUAAAAAGAGGAUGAUGAGGGCCGGCCUGGUGGCACAGGGGUUAAGUGCAUGCGUUCCGCUUCGGCGGCCCAGGGUUGGCUGCUUCGGAUCCUGGGUACAAACACGGCACUGCUCAGCAAGCCAUGCUGCGGGAUCAAGUCUUACAGACAAGGUUGACUGGGCUGAGUGAGUCACCGUGAAUCCAGAUUCCCAGGCAACCUCCAAAUCAACAUACAGAUCAGGGCAAAGGCCUGAACCUAAAGGAGGUUGUCUGCCGGGGACACUGACAGUAACCGUGUGGUCAGGAGCUCAAGGAAGACAUGGCAGGUCCUGAAGGCUGAGAGCCAGGGUCACCCAGGGACAAGAGCGCACAGUAUAAUCAGAGGCGUCCACAGCCACAGAACACCAGCUAUCAACUUACUCCUCAGACUGGACGCUAAUGAAGCCACUCCCUGCAGAUACACUAGGAGUUCAACAGGUCUCUCUCUCUGUUUUGUGCUGGUCUCAGCCUCUCAAUAACCAGUGUUGUGGUGGGACCAGCCCUUGUGGUUCUUGCUGUGAUUGUGACACGCCCUUCAGCAACAACCGUCAGGAAACUUAAAAAAAAAUAAAUAGAAUUUGUGACUUA
rnacentral:lncRNA from 1 species